GCUGAGUGUGGUGGCACACACUUGUAAUCCCAGCUACUCAGGAGGCUAAGGCAGGAGAAUGGCAAGUUUGAAGCCUGUCUGAGCAAUUUAGUAAGACCUUGUCUCAA
rnacentral:sRNA from 1 species